UACAGAGGGGGCAAGCGUUAUUCGGAAUUAUUGGGCGUAAAGGGCGCGUAGGCGGCCUGGCAAGUGGAUGGUGAAAUCCCUCGGCUUAACCGAGGAACUGCCAUCCAGACUGCUUGGCUUGAGACCGGGAGAGGUGAGUGGAAUUCCCAGUGUAGCGGUGAAAUGCGUAGAUAUCAGGAGGAACACCGAUGGCGAAGGCAGCUCGCUGGGACGGUACUGACGCUGAGGCGCGAAAGCGUGGGGAGCAAACAGG
rnacentral:rRNA from 1 species